rnacentral:rRNA from 1 species
GACGAACGCUGGCGGCGCGCCUAACACAUGCAAGUCAAACGAGCGAGAGAGAGCUUGCUUUCUCGAGCGAGUGGCGAACGGGUGAGUAACGCGUGAGGAACCUGCCUCAAAGAGGGGGACAACAGUUGGAAACGACUGCUAAUACCGCAUAAGCCCACGGCUCGGCAUCGAGCAGAGGGAAAAGGAGUAAUCCGCUUUGAGAUGGCCUCGCGUCCGAUUAGCUAGUUGGUGAGGUAAUGGCCCACCAAGGCGACGAUCGGUAGCCGGACUGAGAGGUUGAACGGCCACAUUGGGACUGAGACACGGCCCAGACUCCUACGGGAGGCAGCAGUGGGGAAUAUUGCACAAUGGGGGAAACCCUGAUGCAGCGACGCCGCGUGGAGGAAGAAGGUCUUCGGAUUGUAAACUCCUGUUGUUGGGGAAGAUAAUGACGGUACCCAACAAGGAAGUGACGGCUAACUACGUGCCAGCAGCCGCGGUAAAACGUAGGUCACAAGCGUUGUCCGGAAUUACUGGGUGUAAAGGGAGCGCAGGCGGGAAGACAAGUUGGAAGUGAAAUCUAUGGGCUCAACCCAUAAACUGCUUUCAAAACUGUUUUUCUUGAGUAGUGCAGAGGUAGGCGGAAUUCCCGGUGUAGCGGUGGAAUGCGUAGAUAUCGGGAGGAACACCAGUGGCGCAGGCGGCCUACUGGGCACCAACUGACGCUGAGGCUCGAAAGUGUGGGUAGCAAACAAGAUUAGAUACCCUGGUAGUCCACACCGUAAACGAUGAUUAUUAGGUGUUGGAGGAUUGACCCCUUCCGCGCCGCAGUUAACACAAUAAGUAAUCCACCUGGGGAGUACGACCGCAAGGUUGAAACUCAAAGGAAGUGACGGGGGCCCGCCCAAGCAGUGGAGUAUGUGGUUUAAUUCGACGCAACGCGAAGAACCUUUCCAAGUCUUGACAUCCCUCGACAGGCAUAGAAAUAUGUUUUCUCUUCUGAGCAAGGAGACAGGCGGUGCAUGGUUGUCGUCAGCUCGUGUCGUGAGAUGUUGGGUUAAGUCCCGCAACGAGCGCAACCCUUAUGGUCAGUUACUACGCAAGAGGACUCUGGCCAGACUGCCGUUGACAAAACGGAGGAAGGUGGGGAGGACGUCAAAUCAUCAUGCCCUUUAUGACUUGGGCUACACACGUACUACAAUGGCGUUAAACAAAGAGAAGCAAGACCGCGAGGUGGAGCAAAACUCAGAAACAACGUCCCAGUUCGGACUGCAGGCUGCAACUCGCCUGCACGAAGUCGGAAUUGCUAGUAAUCGUGGAUCAGCAUGCCACGGUGAAUAAGAGCUCGGCCCUUGCACU